rnacentral:rRNA from 1 species
UACAGAGGUGGCAAGCGUUGUUCGGAAUUACUGGCGUAAAGGGCGCGUAGGCGGCCUUCUAAGUCAGACGUGAAAUCCCCCGGCUUAACCUGGGAACUGCGUCUGAUACUGGGAGGCUUGAGUAUGGGAGAGGGAUGUGGAAUUCCGGGUGUAGCGGUGGAAUGCGUAGAGAUCCGGAAGAACACCGGUGGCGAAGGCGGCCUGCUGGGCAGUAGCUGACGCUGAGGCGCGACAGCGUGGGGAGC